rnacentral:rRNA from 1 species
UACAGAGGGGGCAAGCGUUGUGCGGAAUUACUGGGCGUAAAGGGCGCGUAGGCGGCCUGCUAAGUCGAACGUGAAAUCCCCGAGCUCAACUCGGGAACUGCGUCCGAUACUGGCAGGCUUGAAUCCGGGAGAGGGAUGCGGAAUUCCAGGUGUAGCGGUGAAAUGCGUAGAUAUCUGGAGGAACACCGGUGGCGAAGGCGGCAUCCUGGACCGGCAUUGACGCUGAGGCGCGAAAGCCAGGGGAGCAAACGGG